rnacentral:rRNA from 1 species
UAGGGAAUAUUGGUCAAUGGACGGAAGUCUGAACCAGCCAUGCCGCGUGCAGGAAGACGGCCUUCUGGGUUGUAAACUGCUUUUAUCAGGGAAGAAAGGGCCCUUGCGAGGGAACUUGCCGGUACCUGAAGAAUAAGCACCGGCUAACUCCGUGCCAGCAGCCGCGGUAAUACGGAGGGUGCGAGCGUUGUCCGGAUUUAUUGGGUUUAAAGGGUGCGUAGGCGGCUUAGUAAGUCAGUGGUGAAAGGUAUCAGCUUAACUGAUGACGUGCCAUUGAAACUACUGGGCUUGAGUACAGACGAGGUAGGCGGAAUUUAUGGUGUAGCGGUGAAAUGCAUAGAUACCAUAAAGAACACCGAUAGCGAAGGCAGCUUACUAGACUGAGACUGACGCUGAGGCACGAAAGCGUGGGGAGCGAACAGGAUUAGAUACCCCCGUAGUCC